UACGGGGGGGGCAAGCGUUGUUCGGAAUUACUGGGCGUAAAGGGCUCGUAGGCGGCCAACUAAGUCAGACGUGAAAUCCCUCGGCUUAACCGGGGAACUGCGUCUGAUACUGGAUGGCUUGAGUACUGAAGAGGAUCGCGGAAUUCCCGGUGUAGAGGUGAAAUUCGUAGAUAUCGGGAGGAACACCAGUGGCGAAGGCGGCGAUCUGGGCAGAUACUGACGCUGAGGUGCGAAAGCGUGGGGAGCAAAAGGG
rnacentral:rRNA from 1 species